UGUCCUGUUUGAUACAUACAAAUCCAAAUAGAAAUCGGACAUUUCUUACGAAUAUAAGCAUGCCGUUUUAGAUUAAAAUAGCCAAUAUUGUUCUGAAGUUUUACUGAGUAUAGACAUCACAAGGAUUUUCUUUCAACAGACGGCAGUUACCGUACAUUGUUCUUCCAGGUCCUGUCGUAUUUCUACAUGCUGCUGUCAGCAUGGCACCGAAAGCAAAACAAAUUAUGUUAAUGUGAAGGACGAGUUUGAAAAUGACAACGAUGAAGGAGAUGAUGAUGAUGAAGAAGAAAAAAAUAAUGGUGAUAGUCCUCAACCGGACGACGAAUUUAAUUUGGACGAGGUUUUGCGUUUGGGUGGAACCCGAGGAGAGUUCAUCAACUACACAGGAGACCCUCUCCAGGACUUCACUCUCAGCAAGUUCUUGGAUCGCUUCUUCUUCAGGAAUCCCAAACAACUGAAGGGCAAACAGAACACAGACGCUUCAGUGAUGCAGCCCAAACAGAAGCUGGCCAUGAACAACAUCCACAAUUUACCUGUGAACUGUGAGGAGUUCCUGUCCAAUGAAGAGAGUCAGAUUCCUGUGGAUGAGGUCUUCUAUCGAUUCAGAUGAGAUGGAGGUUCCACACAUAAGGCCAGGUUCUAAAAUGAGGAAGGCAUCAGAGGAUCUUGACUUCAGUGGUUCUUUAGGUUCCAAACCAGGGAAGGAAAGGAAAGGGGGACACAGCCAUGUUUGCAUCUGCUGAAGAGUUUGGGUAUAUGUUGGAUGAAAAUGCUGGUUCUAAGUUUGACAACAUCGGCAUGAAUGCUAUGGCCAACAAAGACAAAGCAGGUGUCAGGCAGCUCAAGUGGGAAGCCCAGAGAGACGACUGGGUCCGAGGCAGAGACGUCAAGACCCUACGGAAGAAGAAGGCCAUGUUUAACAAGAAGAAACAGUUUGGCAAGCCCCAGUUUGGCAAUCCCCCCAAAAAAAGACUUUCAAGAAGAAGUAAUACUUUCUGGACCUAAGAAGACUUAUGUUUGUGUUCACACACCUCUAUGCCUUCUUGGACCAAUCUUCAAGGUCUUUCUCUCGAAUCCCAUAAACUCCAGCAUAUUCGUUGGACUUGUAAUAAACUGGAAAGAGAGUGAUAGUGUCUCUCAGCCUUCAACACAUUAAAUCACAUGAUGGUUCAGUGGGCAGCAUGCCCACUGUAGCAAAAUGUUUUGCAACUGUUUCCACUAAUGAAUACACCGGUGUAUUGCCUCAAUCUAACCCUGUUGCCAGUUCCAGGUUGUACUGCCAAUCAUUGGAGAAACUACUAAAUGCCUGUGAAAUGAUGUAUUCUCUUUAUAGCUAUUUUAACUCUGUAUUGUAUUUUGUAUAGGUUUAUACAAGAAAUACCAACAGUACACUAGGAGAUGUCUGGUUUGCAGUAAUUGUAACUGGGGGAAAAAAGGUGUAAUAAUUGGGGCUGAUUUCAUUGCUGUGCAGUUUGGAAUUGAGGAUAAAUUCCUCCAGUUUGUGUAUGUUUUGAACUGUCUACAGCCCUUACCUUCCAGGACAGAGGGAAGCAUGUUGUUCAUACUGUUCCUGAAAUCUAAACACAAAAAAAGAAAAUGUUGUUACAAAGGUGUACAUAGCCCAAGGUAGAGUCCAUGACUUCCUUUCUAUAUAAAAAUGUAA